rnacentral:rRNA from 1 species
UCCCGGCUGAAUUUAAGCAUAUAAGUAAGCGGGGGAUAAGAAACUAAAUAGGAUUCCCUCAGUAAUGGCGAAUGAACAGGGAUGAGCUCAGCAUGGAAAUCGGGGCCUGUGGCCUUGAAUUGUAGUCUCGAGAAGCAUUGCCAACGGAGGCGCAGAUGUAAGCCUCUUGGAAAAGAGCAUCAACGAGGGUGAGAAUCCCGUUUGUCAUCUGCAGUCCCCCGUGCACGGUGUGCUUUCUAAAGAGUCACGUUCCUCGGGAUUGGAGCGCAAAGUGGGUGGUAAAUUUCAUCUAAAGCUAAAUAUAGGUUCGAGACCGAUAGCAAACAAGUACCAUGAGGGAAAGGUGAAAAGGACUUUGGAAAGAGAGUUAAAAGUGCCUGAAAUUGCUGAAAGGGAAGCGAAUGGAACCAGUGUUGCUUGGCAAGAUUGGUGCGUGCUAAUGUGAUUGCCUGCUGCUUCACCGCAAGGGUCGUAGUGGGUUUUGAUCAGGACGUGCGUGUUGUUUCUUGCCUUGUGUGUCAACGUCAGUUCUCAAUCGAGGAAAACGCCAGGGACAUGGUAGUUUGGCUACGGCUGAGCGAAUGUGCUUGGUUGAACUCAUUUGUGAACUGUUUCCUGCGUGUCUGGUUGCAGUGCUCUUCGUCCUAGGGGCUCCUGGGUGGGCUUCGGUCUGCUCAGGUGUGUCCUGGUGACAGGAGUAUCUCCCUGACACAACGACGAUGACUAAAUGGUUCUAUUCGACCCGUCUUGAAACACGGACCAAGGAGUCUAACA